rnacentral:lncRNA from 1 species
GUGGAUUUGAUCAGAAAGUGUCAUUACUAGCUAAGGAUCUAUUGACAAUAGAUAUAUUUUGGAAGAAGACCUUGAGUUUUCUUGAAGAGUGCAGCCCUUGACGGGAGCCUCGAAUAAUCACCAUCACAGAGGAUUCACCCGCCAACUGAAAGCCCUAUGGUGAUCAGCGGAGAUUCUGUACAAGUCUUCUGGACAUCUACAAUAUGAGGACGAUGUUUAAUGAGAUCUUCAAAAAUUAAGUUAUGCAGAGAUUGAAGGAUGUCUUCAUUUCGGGCAAGACUGAAAACAUGUCUAUACUUUCCCAUGGUUUUAUUAUUUUAAUUAUUCUCUUUCUCUAUGUUCUAGCCACUACAUUCCUUUGGUUCUCAAGACUCCUUCUGGGUUAUCUUGAACUGUAUGACCGCCACUGGUGACAGAACGUAACUUCCAUGAGGGCAAGGGUUUUUGUUGUGGUUGUGAGCAGUAUUCAUGUGGAGCCCAAAGCGG